rnacentral:rRNA from 1 species
AGUGAACGCUGGCGGUAGGCCUAACACAUGCAAGUCGAACGGCAGCACAGUAAGAGCUUGCUCUUACGGGUGGUGAGUGGCGGACGGGUGAGGAAUACAUCGGAAUCUACUUUUUCGUGGGGGAUAACGUAGGGAAACUUACGCUAAUACCGCAUACGACCUACGGGUGAAAGCAGGGGAUCUUCGGACCUUGCGCGAUUGAAUGAGCCGAUGUCGGAUUAGCUAGUUGGCGGGGUAAAGGCCCACCAAGGCGACGAUCCGUAGCUGGUCUGAGAGGAUGAUAAGCCACACUGGAACUGAGACACGGUCCAGAAUCCUACGGGAGGCAGCAGUGGGGAAUAUUGGACAAUGGGCGCAAGCCUGAUCCAGCCAUACCGCGUGGGUGAAGAAGGCAUUCGGGUUGUAAAGCCCUUUUGUUGGGAAAGAAAAGCAGCAGGUUAAUACCCCGCUGUUCUGACGGUACCCAAAGAAUAAGCACCGGCUAACUUCGUG